rnacentral:rRNA from 1 species
UACAGAGGGUGCAAGCGUUGUUCGGAAUUAUUGGGCGUAAAGCGCACGUAGGCGGCUUUGUAAGUUAGAGGUGAAAGCCUGGAGCUCAACUUCAGAAUAGCCUUUAAGACUGCAUCGCUUGAAUCCAGGAGAGGUGAGUGGAAUUCCGAGUGUAGAGGUGAAAUGCGCAGAUAUCAGGAAGAACACCCGUGGCGAAGGCGGCUCUCUGGGACGGUACUGACGCUGAGACGCGAAAGCGUGGGGAGCGAACAGG